rnacentral:misc_RNA from 1 species
GUGAAUCAUCAAAUCUUUGAACGCAAAUUGCGCCUUCUUUCGGGAGGCAUGUCUGUUUGAGGGCACCAUUUAACAAAUAAUGUGCGGGUCGCUAUGCGGCGUGCACACGUUGAUGAGCUUUUCCAAAAAACCAGGUUUUUUGGGUGGCGCAUAAUGAACGGGUGGGGCUUUUUUUUUGGAUUCUGG